GAUCAUGGUUUCUCAGGAUGAACGCUAGCUACAGGCUUAACACAUGCAAGUCGAGGGGCAGCAUGGUCUUAGCUUGCUAAGGCCGAUGGCGACCGGCGCACGGGUGAGUAACGCGUAUCCAACCUGCCUUACACUCUUGGACAGCCUUCUGAAAGGGAGAUUAAUACAAGAUGUUAUCAUGAGUAAGCAUUUUCGCAUGAUUAAAGGUUUACCGGUGUAAGAUGGGGAUGCGUU
rnacentral:rRNA from 1 species